rnacentral:rRNA from 1 species
ACGAACGCUGGCGGCGUGCUUAACACCUGCCAGUCGAACGGAAAGGCCCUGCUUUUGUGGGGUGCUCGAGUGGCGAACGGGUGAGUAACACGUGAGUAACCUGCCCUUGACUUUGGGAUAACUUCAGGAAACUGGGGCUAAUACCGGAUAGGAGCUCCUGCUGCAUGGUGGGGGUUGGAAAGUUUCGGCGGUUGGGGAUGGACUCGCGGCUUAUCAGCUUGUUGGUGGGGUAGUGGCUUACCAAGGCUUUGACGGGUAGCCGGCCUGAGAGGGUGACCGGCCACAUUGGGACUGAGAGACGGCCCAGACUCCUACGGGAGGCAGCAGUGGGGAAUAUUGCACAAUGGGCGGAAGCCUGAUGCAGCAACGCCGCGUGCGGGAUGACGGCCUUCGGGUGGUAAACCGCUUUCGCCUGUGACGAAGCGUGAGUGACGGUAAUGGGUAAAGAAGCACCGGCUAACUACGU